rnacentral:rRNA from 1 species
CCUACGGGAGGCAGCAGUGAGGAAUAUUGGUCAAUGGGAGGAAUCCUGAACCAGCCAUGCCGCGUGCAGGACGACGGCUCUACGAGUUGUAAACUGCUUUUGUACCGGGGUAAAAUGCUCUACGAGUAGGGUUUUGAAAGUACGGUACGAAUAAGGAUCGGCUAACUCCGUGCCAGCAGCCGCGGUAAUACGGAGGAUGCGAGCGUUAUCCGGAUUUAUUGGGUUUAAAGGGUGCGUAGGCGGAUUUUUAAGUCAGCGGUAAAAUGUCCGGGCUCAACCCGGGCCGGCCGUUGAAACUGGGGAUCUUGAGUGGGGGAGAAGUAUGCGGAAUGCGUGGUGUAGCGGUGAAAUGCAUAGAUAUCACGCAGAACUCCGAUUGCGAAGGCAGCAUACCGGCGCCCGACUGACGCUGAGGCACGAAAGCGUGGGGAUCGAACAGGAUUAGAUACCCUUGUAGUC